UAUGCUUAUGAUUUUUUUUUUAAAAUUAAAGUCCUAAUUAGUCCAACAAAGAGGAGAAGAAGACACGUAUCCAAGACAAAGCUCACAUGGAAGUUUGGACAAAUUCACAUGUCCUAAGUAGUCCAACAAAGAGGUAUCAGAGCCUUCUUCAUCCUCAGACUCCUCACCAAGGAUGCUUUUCCUUAAUUCUUUAUAGUGUUUCUCAUUCUCAAGGAAAUUUGGAUCUGGUUUGAAGAUAUU